rnacentral:rRNA from 1 species
UACGUAGGGGGCGAGCGUUGUUCGGAAUUACUGGGCGUAAAGGGUGCGUAGGCGGCUUGUCAAGUCAGAUGUGAAAUACCCGGGCUUAACCCGGGGGGUGCAUUUGAAACUGACGAGCUUGAGUGUAGGAGAGGAAAGCGGAAUUCCUAGUGUAGCGGUGAAAUGCAUAGAUAUUAGGAGGAACACCAGUGGCGAAGGCGGCUUUCUGGACUACAACUGACGCUGAGGCACGAAAGCGUGGGGAGCAAACAGG